AUGUUCUGCGGUGUCAGAGAUGAGAGAACCCGGGAGGGUAGAGGUCAUGGCCAUCUCAUCCUGUGCUCUCCACCAGCACCUGGCACACAGUCUGGCAUGGAGCAGACCACGCAGACCGUUGUGACCGGGGUUCCCAGGGAUGCCAGGGUGCCUUGUGAGUCUUGUGAGCUUAUGUUCCCUGCGCAGAUUCCAAUGGCAAGCAGAAACCACCAGAUCCUCAUGGUUCAGAUGACAGACUCUGAACUGAAAGAGGGAAACAGAAACCCAAAAGAAACCUUUGUUGCUGAGGCCCAGGACACAGCCUCUUCCAUGCCGUGCGAAAUAGGUGAGCUGUCCCCUGCCCCAGACCCACACCUGGACAGACUUGGACAGAAAGCUCAGGGCAGGGGAGCAAGCUGGUUGUAACCAGAAUGACAUUAUCCUUGGAAGGUAACACUAGUGACUGGAACCAGUCUUCAAGGUGAAUGGGCAAUAAAAAAAGCCAAGUUUAAGGUCAGGAUACUCUUCCAUUUAUCAUUUCACUUUGAAAAAAAUCACUUUUCUGAACCAGACACCAAUACUUACUUAUCUCACAGGACUGUUGUAAAGAUCAAAUUUUAUCACAAUCUGCAUAAAGGCACAUUAUAAAUAGUGAAGCAAACAUAGCAUUACCAUCUGAUCCAGCAAUUCCACUGCUGUGCAUCUACAAAAGUCAUUUAAAGCAAGGACUGGAACAGAUCUCCAUGUUCAUAGUCGCAUUAUUUUCCAUAGCAACUCAAGGGUCCAUCAGUGGAUAAACAGAUACAUGCAAUGUGGUAGGUCCACACAAUGGAAUAUUCUUCAGCCUUAGAAAGAAAAGAAAUUCUGACACGUGUUACAACAUAAAAGGACCUCGAGAACAUUAUGCUAAGUGAAACCAGCUAGUCACAGACAGACAGACCUGGAUAACUUCAGUUAUAAGAGAUUCCUAGAGCUGUCAAACUCAUAGAAAAAGUAGGAUGGUGGUUGCCAGGGGUGAAGAGAGAAGGAAGUGGGAGUUGUCUGAUGGGUACAGAGUUUCUGUUUGGGAACAUUUUAAGAGUUUCUGUUUGGGAAGAUUCUAAGAGUUUCUGUUUGGGAAGAUUUUAAGAGAGUUCUGGAGAUGGGUGGUGGUGAUGGUUGCACAACAAAGAGAAUGUACUUAAUGCCACUGAACUAUGUCCUUAAAAUGGUGAAGCUGGUAAGUUUUAUGUUAUAUAUUUUUUACCACAUUAAACACUUAAAUUAAAUUUUUUUAAAAAGUAAAGCAUUCCAAGCAGUCUUACUGAAAUGAGAGGUAUUCUUUCAGUCAUGGUCUUGUUUUUCUAGGAGGCCACUGUGAGGAAGGGCCACACACACACAGAAAACAUCACCUAGUUCGGGACAAGUGCGUUUUCAAGUCCUUUCCUCUGUAGACACUGCCCCCACCCCAGGUGAUCCAUGCAGUUUCCCCGCAGCAGGAGCUAAGACAACACUUGGGCAGUGCUCCAAACAGAGGGAGCAGCAAACGCAAGGCCUGGAAGGAAGAGGAAACGUGGAUGGCCGGGCCUCCUGACUCAGCAACGCUCCCACUCAGGGCUGCGGAGCAUCAUGUUACUCUCCCACAUGGCGCCCGUCAUGGCAGGGGCUUCACACUUGUUUAUGUAAUUGUAGGAUGAAGAACCUGACUCCCUGCCCGACUGUAUUUCCUCAUUAUUGUCUUCCUAGCACCCAAUAGCAAACUUGGAACAGCAGAUUGAACAAAUACUUGUUGAAUGAAAUUAAUUUAUCAUCAUGGGAGAUGUCUUAGGAUACAUAUAUAUAAUUUUUGGAGACAAGGUCUUGCUCCAUCACCAAGGCUGAAGUACAAUCAUGCAAUCACAGCUCACUGUAGUCUCGACCUCCCAGCUCAAGCGAUCCUCCUGCCUCAGCCUCCCAAGCAGCUGGGACUACAGGCAUGCACCACCACACCCGUCUAAUUUAUUUUAUUUUAUUUUUAUCUUAUUUUAUUUUAUUUUUGAGCGUAGUUUCGCUCUUGUGACCCAGGCUGGAGUGCAAUGGCUGAUCUCUGCUCACUGCAACCUCUGCCUCCCAGGUUCAAGCAAUUCAGCUUCUCGAGUUGCUGGGAUUACAGGCGCCAUCACCACGCCCGGCUAAUUUUUGUAUUUUUAGUAGAGACAGGUUUUCAUCAUGUUGCCCAGGCUGGUCUUAAACUCCUGACCUCAAGUGAUCUGCCUGUCUUGGCCUCCCAAAGUGCUGGGAUUACAGGCAUGAGCCACUGCCACCUGUCCUAAUUUCUCUUCUCUUCUUUUCUCCUUCCUUCCUUUCUCUCUCCUUUUUUUUUUUUUUUUUUUGAGACUGGGUCUCACUCUGUUGCCCAGGCUGGUCUUGAACUCCUGAGCUCCCCCCUCACUCUCCCAAAGUGCUAGUAUUACAGGCUAAAGCCCCUGCACCUGACUUUUAGGAUUUAAAAAACAAAACAAAAACGUGGGCCUAGUGCAACUGGUCAGAACCCAGAUCUUCUCACAGGCCUGAUAGCCGUGUAAAUCUGCACAUCUUUCUGGAAAAGUUAAAGAGCAAAAGACAUCUAUAUCUUUCACCCUGUAUUCCUAUCCCUAAAAUUCUUCCUAAUAUUCCAAAACUGCGUGCCAGUUGUGUGACAUUACCUGCCGCAUUAUCUAUAACAGGUGAAAAAGUGCAUGCUACAUAAUAUGUAACAAUAGGGGAAGGGUUUACUAUGUGUAAUAGUGUGUAACUGCUGCGAUAAUUAUGAAGGUCAUGUAGAAAUAUGUAAAUGAUAUACGUUGUGCUGAAUUUUAACAGUAGACUAAAAUGCCAUGUACAUUACAAAUGUACUUAUGACUGUAUGAAUAUUGACAAAACAUGAAGUGAAUAUAUGCAAAUAAAGAUGGUUGCUUUAGAAUGGGGGGCGGUUAUGGGAGCUUUUCAUUUAUAAAAAAUGCUUUUUUUUUGUGCCUACACAAAUAUUUCUAGAGAUUGUGAAAACCAGCCAGACUCUCUGCCAUGCGAAGUCUGUAUUGCCAUCUGGUGGAAAUGUCACAGGGUGCAGCCUAACGCAAAGGGAGGAUUUUUGGAAAAGGAAAUGCCGAUCUUUCUCUUUGAAGUCACAAAUCCGCUCCAUUCCAGGAAAUUGAGUUGAGUUUUCUUGGAGCCAAAUUCCAUGAAGAAUAUACUCGAGCCUCCUUUGUUAAACUCAGAAGGGGCUGGAAGCAGUCAAAUCUAAAUUCCAUCAACCAAACUUUGUCGAGGGUUCUACAAUUUUCAUUUUAACUUUUCAAAACGUGGAGCACAACUAUUCCAGGAAUAAAAUGAUCCGAAGAUCAUAAAGGUGUCAGGUUAAACUCCAAUUUGCUCUCCAGGGAAGAAGGAGCCAGCCUGAAAGCAAACAGUUACUCUUCUGUAAUUCUUUCACUAGUUUUGCAUACUUGAUGUAGGCAGAUUUUAUCUAGCUUGUUUAUACAGCAUGGAGACAAGCUUCAGCAAAUUAUUUUGAUUAACUAAUAUGUGUUCUCCCAAAUACACAGCAAAGUAAGUUGUGGCACUAUUUCUGUUUUAUUUAUUUGCUUGUUUGUCUGUUUAUAGAGAUACAGUCUCAUGAUGUUGCCCAGCUCAGUCUUGAACUCCUAGGCUUAAGUGGUUCUCCUGCCUCAGCCUCCCGAAUAGCUGGGAUUAGAGACAUGGCCAACACCCAGCUUGGCACUAUUUUUUAAUAAGAAAAUUUAGAAAGUUUAUACCUCCUAUUUAGCCUCAUCUUCAAUGUAGAACAUUGAGGAUUUGCACAAGGAAUAUAGAAGAAAUUACAUUAAUGUUAUUUUGAAAAAUAAUUACAUUUGUGCUUCUCACAAAGCUAUGGGUUGGACUCUCAGUUUCAUUAGUUCAACUACAGUUACACUCUCAACUUUGAAUUUCUGGGUCUGGUCUUUUUCCAGGAGUGCCUUCUGGAAAGAACUAGGAGCCUCUUCUGUCUCCCAUCUUUCCCUGCAAUCACCUCCUCUAUCUCUCUCUUCUCUUGCCUGAAUUACUGUCCUCCCCAGUCCCCACUUACUCUGUACACCACACCUAGACUAGUGAUCACUUAGGAGGCAGCAACCUGGGUCAGAGCUUUAUGAAGAUCGUGACU
rnacentral:lncRNA from 1 species